GACGAACGCUGGCGGCGUGCUUAACACAUGCAAGUCGAGCGGAAAGGCCCUUCGGGGUACUCGAGCGGCGAACGGGUGAGUAACACGUGAGUAACCUACCUCGAACUCUGGGAUAAGCCUGGGAAACUGGGUCUAAUACCGGAUGUUCAUCUCCUGCUGCAUGGUGGGGGAUGGAAAGUGUUUAGCGGUUCGGGAUGGGCUCGCGGCCUAUCAGCUUGUUGGUGAGGUAAUGGCUUACCAAGGCUUUUACGGGUAGCCGGCCUGAGAGGGCGACCGGCCACACUGGGACUGAGAUACGGCCCAGACUCCCACGGGAGGCAGCAGUGGGGAAUAUUGCGCAAUGGGCGGAAGCCUGACGCAGCAACGCCGUGUGAGGGAUGACGGCCUUCGGGUUGUAAACCUCUUUCACCAGGGACGAAGCUUUUGUGACGGUACCUGGGGAAGAAGCGCCGGCCAACUACGUGCCAGCAGCCGCGGUAACACGUAGGGCGCGAGCGUUGUCCGGAAUUAUUGGGCGUAAAGGGCUCGUAGGCGGUUUGUCGCGUCGAAAGUGAAAAUCCGAGGCUCAACUCCGGACUUGCUUUCGAUACGGGCAGGCUAGAGGUAGGCAGGGGAGAAUGGAAUUCCUGGUGUAGCGGUGGAAUGCGCAGAUAUCAGGAGGAACACCGGUGGCGAAGGCGGUUCUCUGGGCCUUACCUGACGCUGAGGAGCGAAAGCGUGGGGAGCGAACAGGAUUAGAUACCCUGGUAGUCCACGCUGUAAACGUUGGGCGCUAGGUGUGGGAGUCUUUUGUGACGUCCGUGCCGUAGCUAACGCAUUAAGCGCCCCGCCUGGGGAGUACGGUCGCAAGACUAAAACUCAAAGGAAUUGACGGGGGCCCGCACAAGCGGCGGAGCAUGUUGCUUAAUUCGAGGCAACGCGAAGAACCUUACCUGGGUUUGACAUGUGGGUUAAUCCGGCAGAGAUGUCGGGUCCUUUUGGGAACUCAUGCAGGUGGUGCAUGGCUGUCGUCAGCUCGUGUCGUGAGAUGUUGGGUUAAGUCCCGCAACGAGCGCAACCCUCGUCCUAUGUUGCCAGCACGUUAUGGUGGGGACUCAUAGGAGACUGCCGGGGUCAACUCGGAGGAAGGUGGGGAUGAUGUCAAGUCUUCAUGCCCCUUAUGUCCAGGGCUGCAAACAUGCUACAAUGGUCGGUACAAUGGGCUGCGAGACCGUGAGGUGGAGCGAAUCCCUAAAAGCCGGCCUCAGUUCGGAUCGGGGUCUGCAACUCGACCCCGUGAAGUUGGAGUCGCUAGUAAUCGCGGAUCAGCAACGCCGCGGUGAAUACGUUCCCGGGCCUUGCACACACCGCC
rnacentral:rRNA from 1 species